AUGCUGGCUGUUGUGCUUGCUCUUUUACCUGGUGUUGGGGUUACACUCUCCAUUGCUCAGUGGCCUGAAAAAAUCAUUCUGAGACCUGGAGGCUCUUUGACCAUCUCCUGCUCCCAGAGUUACAGUAACCUUGCCUAUAUGUUCUGGUACCAGCAGCCUCCAAGAAAUGGCUUGAAGUUAAUAGUCAGCAGUACUUCUUGGAGGUAUCAGUCUUAUGAGGAUGGUUACUCUGAGGCCAAGUUUGAAGUAACCAGACAGAAUACUGAUUACUCUCUGAUGACAAUCAAGAAUGUGACAGCCCAGGAUGCAGCCACGUAUUUCUGUGCUGCGAGCGGUCACACGGUGUAG